UCCGGUUUGUCACCGGCAGUCUCCCUAGAGUGCCCUUGCGUAGCAACUAAUGACAAGGGUUGCGCUCGUUGCGGGACUUAACCCAACAUCUCACGACACGAGCUGAUGACAGCCAUGCAGCACCUGUGUUCCGAUUCCCUUUCGGGCACACCCCCAUCUCUGGAGGCUCUCGGACAUGUCAAGGGUAGGUAAGGUUUUUCGCGUUGCAUCGAAUUAAACCACAUCAUCCACCGCUUGUGCGGGUCCCCGUCAAUUCCUUUGAGUUUCAACCUCGCGGCCGUACUCCCCAGGCGGGGCACUUACUGCGUUAGCGACGGCACCGGGAGGGUCGCUCCCCCCGACGCCUAGUGCCCAUCGUUUACGGCGUGGACUAC
rnacentral:misc_RNA from 1 species